rnacentral:rRNA from 1 species
AAACCAACAGGGAUUGCCCUAGUAACGGCGAGUGAAUCGGCAACAGCUCAAAUUUGAAAUCUGGCUUUCGGGCCCGAGUUGUAAUUUGUAGAGGAUGCUUUUGAUGCGGUGCCUUCCGAGUUCCCUGGAACGGGACGCCAUAGAGGGUGAGAGCCCCGUCUGGUUGGAUGCCAAAUCUCUGUAAAGUUCCUUCGACGAGUCGAGUAGUUUGGGAAUGCUGCUCUAAAUGGGAGGUAUAUGUCUUCUAAAGCUAAAUAUUGGCCAGAGACCGAUAGCGCACAAGUAGAGUGAUCGAAAGAUGAAAAGCACUUUGAAAAGAGAGUUAAAAAGUACGUGAAAUUGUUGAAAGGGAAGCGUUUAUGACCAGACUUGGACUUGGUUAAUCAUCUGGGGUUCUCCCCAGUGCACUUUUCCAGUUCAGGCCAGCAUCAGUUUUCGCCGGGGGAUAAAGGCUUCGGGAAUGUAGCUCUCUUCGGGGAGUGUUAUAGCCCGUUGUGUAAUACCCUGGCGGAGACUGAGGUUCGCGCUUCUGCAAGGAUGCUGGCGUAAUGGUCAUCAACGAC